GAUGAACGCUGGCGGCGUGCCUAAUACAUGCAAGUCGAGCGAACGGACGAGAAGCUUGCUUCUCUGAUGUUAGCGGCGGACGGGUGAGUAACACGUGGAUAACCUACCUAUAAGACUGGGAUAACUUCGGGAAACCGGAGCUAAUACCGGAUGAUAUUUUGAACCGCAUGGUUCAAAAGUGAAAGACGGUCUUGCUGUCACUUAUAGAUGGAUCCGCGCUGCAUUAGCUAGUUGGUAAGGUAACGGCUUACCAAGGCAACGAUGCAUAGCCGACCUGAGAGGGUUAUCGGCCACACUUGAACUGAGACACGGUCCAGACUCCUACGGGAGGCAGCAGUAGGGAAUCUUCCGCAAUGGGCGAAAGCCUGACGGAGCAACGCCGCGUGAGUGAUGAAGGUCUUCGGAUCGUAAAACUCUGUUAUUAGGGAAGAACAUAUGUGUAAGUAACUGUGCACAUCUUGACGGUACCUAAUCAGAAAGCCACGGCUAACUACGUG
rnacentral:rRNA from 1 species